rnacentral:rRNA from 1 species
AUGGGAAAAGAAUUUGACCUAAAGGCGUUGCUGUUCGUGACCAUCAAUGAUUGGCCUGCUCUCAGUAACCUUUCAGGACAGACAAACAAGGGAUACCGCGCAUGCACGCACUGUUUGGACGAUACCGACAGUAUAUAUUUGGCUAAUAAGAAUGUGUACCUGGGACAUCGUCGAUUUCUUCCGAGCAGGCAUCCCGUAAGAAAGAAAGGCAAGCAUUUCAAAGGUGAGGCGGAUCACCGGACGAAGCCUCGCCACCGUACUGGUGCUGAUGUACAUGAUAUGGUCAAGGAUUUGAAGGUGGUAUUUGGAAAGGGUCCUGGUGGACAACCUGUUCCGAAUGACGCUGACGGACGCGCACCCAUGUGGAAGAAGAAAUCUAUAUUUUGGGACCUGCCCUAUUAG